rnacentral:sRNA from 2 species
UGCACUGUACUUGGAACCGACCGGAUUAUUCAAAUUUAAAUCAACAUGUGGAGCUCUCUAGCAAGAGUGCUUUUCGUCUGAUAAUUCUAAGAAUCCAUUCCGAACGUUUUUCUUUAUAAAUUCGAAAAGUCAGUCUUCAAAGAUGACCGUAUAAAGUUGUAUAAAAUGCUUGCAAUUUUUAAUUUUUAACUUUUUUUACUGCGGCCCUGAGAAGGCUUUUCAAGGGAAUUGUAUGGAAAAAUAACAGGCGUGCUAUUAAAUCCAAAGGAUAAGAAAAUGUUGGCGGUUUGGAUUGGCCCAGUGGCCUAGCAGAAAAGGGGUUUGCGGGUAUGAGAAGCUUUAUAUGUCAUACGGAAGCGGAAAGGUGGAG